GCGUUGAUGGCGAAACAGGCAUACGCACCGGUUCGAGAAGCCGGCGUCUUCGGACAUGUGGGUUCGACUCCCACUCAACGCA
rnacentral:tRNA from 1 species